UAAGGUUUAUCGCAAAUACAAACCGCAAAGGAUCAUGGGGCUGCAAUCGGAGCAAGAGCGCCAUCACACGGCGGUGGGAAAACGUACACACGGCAUGCACGGUGCGGUGUGUACGAUAUUUCUUGGCUGUCCAUUUUUCAGACGUUUUGUGUUCGAUGGACAUGAUGGGAGGUGAUUAUUGUGCUGUUCUGGUUUGCAAUAACUGUUGUUAUCCACAACAAAGAUGUCAUCAAAGAGCAUGUAAACACACUCGGAUUCCACUCAUGCAGGGAUAAGAAACACUUCCCUCUCUGGACCUAACUGACCCAACAGCAGGAUUUCAAAGUAAAAUCAUCGACUACAGUCUGAAGCAACCACUUUAAAUACGGCCAGCCAUAUCCUGAUGAACUUCACCCAUCUUUACUUUUGAGAGGAUACGACCUUCCUGAGACACUGAAAAGAGCACCGGUAAAGAGGCGAGCAUUGGAUCUCACAACACCACUGCCGGCCAUCUGAGAAAAUCAAAACUUUGCUGUACCUUUUCUUAAGUUUUUAUUUAUUUUGUUCAUUCUUACUCAAGGUUUGUAUGCAAAAUAAACCAAAUUAUAAAUGGCAUUAACCUACAUGUACAUGAACGGUCUUCACUUAUGAUAAUGAUAAUAGAAAUUAUAUCAAUUGUAAAAGGUUUUGCAGGUUCAUAAAAAUAAGAGACAUGUUUAAUUAAAAAUAAUGUAAAUAAAAUUUGGAACAAAGUUGCACACAAUAAGGAUGUAGAAAAUGCAAAUUGAAAUGAUCAAGUCAUGUUUUAUAAAAGUACAUGAACAUUGUUUAAAAAUGCAAUUAUGACCUGUGUCUCUUGACGAGAGUUGAAUUAAAAGUAAAAAAAAAACCUGGAAAAUUGAAAAUAAAACUGGCAAAUGCAAGCCUACUCGAGUGUCAUAACAAGAGUUGUAUGAACAGUUGUCAAAAUAUCAAGGAAUAUGGCCUACGUCCCUCAAAUAAAAAAAGCCGAGUCUCAAAACAACAGUUGGAAUAAAUAGGUGAAAGUAAUUGGCAAAUAUGAGCUGUGUUUCUUAAUUAAAAGCUGGCAAUAUUUGAGCAGAUUCUCGUAAAAAGAGUUGGAUAAAGUUUAAAAACUUGGCAAAUAUGACCUGUGUUUCUUAUAUAACCGGUAGCCCCAAUAUUGGCACAAAUUUACUCGGACGAAUACAAGAAAACCUGUUUAACAUAAAAAAACAAACCAAUUUAUAAAAUACACAACAGUUAU